GAGAGCGUAGCUCAGUUGGUAGAGCAACGGACUUUUAAUCCGUAGGUCAUGGGUUCAAGUCCCAUCGCUCUCA
rnacentral:tRNA from 1 species